GCCAAACAGGGCGCAGGAAGUUCUGGUGCACAGCUAUGACAUCAUCAUUUCUAUCAAGUCUAGCGCAAAACACUGCUCAAUGUCUUUCCAGUGCAACCUCCGUUCCCGCAGGAGACGCUCAACAUUGAACUUUUAUUUUCCUAGGCAAUCUCAACUCGCUGGACGAGCAACAGACUGCUUUGUGUUAAACUCCACAAAACAAUCUUUGCCUGCAGAAGGAAGAAACACGGAUUUACCGCUUCUUCACGGAGAGAAAGACCACCGCUGAGCCGCUCUCUUCCCACCGAAAGUCGACUACUGCUUUCCUCCGCUGCCAUUCGAAGGAACAGUUCCUCCAUUAGAACCACCGACAGCGUGGACCUGGCUCCAUCAGUAUCCGAGUCUUGAGAGUAUUUCACUGGACAAACAGAUGGACUGACACAUUAAAUCACUAUCAAGAGUGAUCUCAAGACACAAGUUAGUGCCUUGACACUAAAUAUCUGCACUGAGGAUAUUUCCAAUCAUUAACUUUAUCCAGAGACAGGACUUGCAGUAGUUCAGUGGAGCAGUACACAUCAGGAUCCUUUUGAAGCAGUGAACUCUGUCUUGGCAAGAUGUUCGAUAUUGUUUUUCUCCAAGAUCAACCUGAGCCACAUCACACGGUGCCACAGUCAAAGAAGAACUAUGCAAGACACGGCUGGAAUGAAAGGGAACAGUGCAAGUUUACAACAACGGCUAAUUAGGAUUCCUCUUGGAAGGCAUGUCGCACAUUGCAACCCAGCGUGAGACUCCAAUGUACAGGUGUUGUGAGACUGCAGCAAAAAGACCAUCAAAAGCUCUCUGUCUCCUAAUAUGUUAAAAUUCAAGAUAUCAUGCAUUUUACAUGAACACUAUGUCAUUUGCCACAUAGUUAUUUCAUUGUAAUGAGGUGAUUUAUCUUUUCUUCAAACUACCUCUUCUCCACUCAACUGGUGUGAAAAACAGCUUGGAGGGAUGUGUCUAUGAGGCCCCACCACUCUGCCUGUUGAUCCUUUAGAACAGAAGUUCAUACAAUAAUUACUAGAGGUGGGUGGUUAAAGUUUGCGUACUUGUGUGUAUGUCUGAGUCGGAGGAUUUUUAUGGUACUUGAGGCUAAGCAUGUGUGUGCAUGUGUGUACACAAGUAUUAAAUCAGUACCUAUGAAGUUGAAUCUACAGUGAUGCAUUCCCUGGUGCCCUGCAAAGUUUGAAAUGAAAGUUCCCCCUAAUUAUUGUUUAUUUUUGCACUUGGAUUAAUAAACCCCCCCUUUUCCACAUAUAUCAAGUUACACCACACAAAAGCUCUCUGCACGAUCUGCAACAAGGAGAAGCACACUCUGCAAACAAAUAAAUAUCCAUAUGUGCUCUGCUCUCAUUUACUUGUAUGUGUCUGACACUUAGAAAGAGUUAGUAGCAUCUGACUAAUGAGCUCAUUAAUUUAUAUUUCUGCACCUGAAUAUUUGUGUAUGUGUAGAGGACAAUACCUUUCAUAAGAAAAUGUAGAAAAAAUCUACCUAAACAACUUCAUAUCCUAUCUAAAUGCAGUUGAUAUGUCUGUUAAUGUGGGUGUGGCCCUUUCUUUCACGCAUGGCAGUGCCUUUGUGCAUUCCCUCAUACAUAUGUGUGUUCCUUCUAGGUCACUAAUCCUCUCAUUAAGUCAACCUUUACCAUGAGAUUAGUGUCAUGUCUGAAUCAGUUGGGCUGAACACUUUGUUCUCUUCGAGGCACAGCAUAUCCCAAGAGAAUUAAGGCGCACAGAGAGAAAACAGCUAACUCUUGACAAAAAAGAUAAGAAAUAAUCACCACUGAUUUACGCCUACAAAAGGCUUUACAACUGAAAUAAAUUAAUUGAUGGGAAUGAAAAUGCAAAACAGAUCAUUGGCUGGAGUCCGUCUUAGCCUCUUAUGUGAAAGAUUGUGGGGUUAUGUGCUCUCGAAUAAACAAGGAUCCCCUAGUGAAAAAAUAAGAGGCCCUCAACAAGUCUGUUAAAAAAACAGGGUUUAUUUUAUUUGACGAGCUGUUUUGCAUAUUACGCUCAAUGUUCAUUGGGUUGUAAUUUUGAUUGGACCUCAGGUAAUCAACUGUAUCCUCUUCCCAUUCUCAUUUGCAUGUUUAUUGUCUGUCAAAGAUCCACAGUACUGAAUACGUUUAAAGGGUCUAUCUACAACCCAAAUAGUGAUGUCAAAGAGGGUACUUUGCCUUUAAAGGCGUUAUCUAUUGAUUUAGCAUUACAUUGCAUAGACAGAUCACAACAACAAAUCAAAAUCAAUAUGCACUACUCCCCAAUUUGUGGUAAUUUUUUUUCAGCCAUAGCCAUUAAAUAUAUUUGCAUUCAAUAAUUAUCUUUCUUCACAGUAGUUUUCAUUGUUAGUAGCAUAGUCCACCAUCAGUGCUGGAUUCAGAUUGCCUUCACACUAGGAAUUCACAGAAAACAAUGCAGCAUGUAAUACAGCUUUACCUAAUUUUAUCUCAUUGACAUCUGCAUCACUGUGUACUGUUCACUUGCCUAACACUGUAUCAGUGAUGUAUUUAGCUGCUGAUUCACAUUAAAAGCAUUCAACUAGGCUUUUAUUGUGAAGCAGUCACAUAAAGUGUAAUGUAUUUGUCACCAAGGUUAGUGCUGACUGCCUUUGUUCAUCAAGAAAUGAGUCUACAAAACAAGACGUGGUCAUUUUAGGAUUUUUUUGUCAGUGGAUCACUUUUAAAUAUUGCAGUGAGUAAUGAAACAGUCAGGAGCAGCAACAGUGAACUGUUAAAUGAAGCGUUACAGGCGAAUGGCUGCAUACCUCCAACUGCUAAACAAGGUAACCAACUCCACUCUGCCAUUCAGUCAUGUGGGAAACUACUCGCAUAAAAUCAGAUCGCGGUUGCAAAAACUGACUUCUUUAUUAAAACAGCAUGAGUUUGUUUGGCUGCACUGUAAACUGAUACACCAGUUCCUCCUCUGCUGUAUUUCUGAAAAAGUAAAAGUCUGUGCUGUAUUAAACCACACUUGCUGCUACCACCAGAAACCACGAGUGUCACCAAAUGAACUAGGACGAAUUAGGACAGAAAUCUUAAGGAUCACAACUUUAACAUUUGAUGGAAAACACCUGCUGUGGCAUCACUGAGUGGGUGUGGCAAAUAGAGUAACACGUUUAAGAUUUAAACUGCAGUGCAGCAGCAGCUGCUACUUCUUGGUGUUCAACCCUUUCAAAUUUUAAGAAGCAAUGUUUACUGAGAGCAAAAUUCAAAGUGUUGCCAACACCAGCCUCCCCUCCCACCCCAACCACCCUCCACCACCACCACACACAGACGGUAUAAACACUUCACUCACUCAACCGUGAUUUCUCAGUAAUUUGAGUUUCAAACAAAGUUUGCUCCUUUAAAGUAACUAAAGAAAAUAAGAGAAACAGAAAAGAGGAAACCCUAAGCAAGGAGAAGGAAGAGAGGAGUGGGUUGAGUUGAGAGAAAGGUGGUAUCUGACAGUGUGGAAUGGCUGAGGAAUGAGGCCUCCCACGGUCAAAAGCCCAGUAACCUUGACAAUCACCACUGUGGCAAGGUUUGACAGCACACUAUUUCUAUCAUACACUCUCUCUUAAUUACCACAUCUGCAUUCAGCACAUUCCAUCCCUCCAUAGUGCAGUAUUUUCCUAUGCAGUUCAAUUUAUCAUGCAGGCAUGCAGACAACCACUCUAUCAUACAACCUCAAUGUCAAAACAGUUACAGCUAACAGAAAGACAACAUUCAGAGUGUGAAGAGGCUCUGCAGUCCACUCAAGCAGCAGCAGACCAUUAUCCUUUCAUUAGUGCCAAAUAGCACAGAGUUGGAGGAAAUGCAACAUCUAUUUGAAACUGUCCAGUAGUACCUAUUCCUGACAAUGUAGACAAACACUACAUUUUCCAACACCCCAGACUCUAAACACUAUUAUAGCAACAUUUUUGGCGGUUAUAUAUUAAUACUGUAAGACAUGCCACAUUCCAAGUUCAAACAACAUGGCUGUCUCCCACUGACCCACCCCAGCUCUCUCUUUUGGACCAUUUUCAACAAUUUUCCAAUAAGUAUUUGACCUGUUGUAUUUUUUUCCCUUUAUUCUGAAGAUUUUUAGUGAUAGAAAACUUUAAUAAUUAAAAAAAAAGCAUAAUACACAUGAUUUGGAUAUAUAUAGUUAGGAUUAACAGACAAUAUACACUCACUGGCCACUUUAUUAGGUACACCUGUUCAACUGCUCAUUAAGGCAAAUAUCUACUCAGCCAAUCACGUGGCAGCAACUCAAUGCAUUUAGGCACAUGAACAUGCUCAAGACAAUCUUGUGAAGUGCAAACCAAGCAUCAGAAUGGGGAAGAAAGGUGAUUUAAGUAACUUUGAACGUGGUAUGGUUUUUGGUGCCAGAUUGGCUUUUUUGAUUUUCAUCUCUAGGGUUUAUAGAGAAUAGUCCGAAAAUGAGAAAAUAUCCAGUUCUCAGGGUGAAAAUGCCUUGUUGGUGGCAGAGGUCGGAGGAGAAUGACCAGACUGGUUUGAGCUAAUAGAAAGGCAACAAUAACUCAAAUAACCACUGGUCACAAACGAGGUAUGCAGAAGAUAUGCAAAACACAUCGAACCUUGAAGUAGAUGGGCUACUGUAAUGGUGUAUUAUAGCAUGGAUUACAAUUACAAUUUUAAUUCAAAUUAAUUUGCUUUUUAUUGUGCUGUAUCAAACAAUUUCAUGUCAAUAAAAUAAAUUUUUAAGAUUUUGAUAUUAGUUAAUGAUUGAUGCCUAAUAAUCUAUGAACUUUGUUAAAAUUAAAGUGGUGAUAAUUGUAAGCGCUAAGACCACUUUUGUAACGUUUUCACAAAAUCCUCCAAAACCCAUAAAAGGAAAAAAAUCUCAUUAUUUUUUUUAACAGAGGCUUGUAAAAACAGUUUUAAAAGGAGAAAAAAUGUUUACAUCUUUCAGGGGGUUAAUUGUAUUUUACUAUGACAGAUGAUGAGAUAUGGUGAAUUUGGGAUGUAGUGUUCUUAUAUUUGUGUAUUUGGUGGAUGUGAGGGAGCUAGUUGAAUUCUGUGUGAGAACUUACAGUAGAUUUGUGCAUGUACUAUUAUGUAUUUGCAUGUGAAUGCAUGUAGAGCUUAAUGUGUGCAUGACACUGGAGGAAAAGGGUGUAAAUGUGAAUAUCUAGGCCAGCAAUAAUGAGUUUCCAGUCGCUGCAACACCAGCCACACUGAUCUAUUUCUAAAUUGCCACUGGAGCUUGCCUGCCUCGUACCAUACAAUAUACUGUACAUAUGUACAUGAAUAUGUAUGUGUGUGUGUGUGUGUAAGUCAGUGCAUGAGUGGGUGAAUGUGGGAGUGCUGACUACAUGGCGGGGAUCCAGAUUAAUGCAGGAUGUCUGCAAAGCCAGUACUAAGGAAGUUAAAUAUUUUAAUCUUCUAGAGGGGAUGGCAUUUCCAGAAAGCUUGUGUCAGUCGCAUAUUUUUUACAAUCAUGCCACAGCUGGUUAUAUAGUGCAGUACAAUAACACUGUACUGGUAAUUUAACAGAAACACACACACAUAAUCACAUACACAUCAACACACCAACAUGCUAACCAACCAAUAUGCACCAAUCAAUCUCAGUUGUUCUGCACAUGUGCGCACACACAUACACACACUUUCAAUGCUUAAGGGCAUACAGUUGAUUAGCAGUAACCUAGUUCAAUAAUAUCCACCAAAUGUAGGUCACUAUAAUCUAGGACCGGGGUGGUGGUGGGGAUGUGUCUGCGUGUGUGUGUGUGCGUGCGUGCGUGCGUGCGUGUGUUAUGAAUAUAAUAGGGCUGCAGUAAACCUGCUGGAUGGCAAACAGCAGCAGGUCUGCCAGGCCUCCAGCUGAGGCUCAGCUUGUAGAGGUCAAAAGUCAUCUGUACUGACACAACGGAGACGUACAAUAUAUAUACACUAUAUAUACACUGAGAUCCAUAUACGUAGAUAUUACAUGCAAUUUUAAAUAACAAUAUGAGGGAGUCCAUGUUAUUGAAAUCACAUUUAUUUGCUGGUUUCUGGUUGCAACAAUGGGUCAAAGCCUCCAUCGCAGUCUACUUAACAGCACCAGCACACAGGAUGGUGAUAUCUUGUGUCAAUUUUAUAUUCAGUUCUUUGAAAAGAAUGAGCAUGCUCUUCAGAACAGGUGUGCUAAAGGCUCAGCAAGAUCCAGUAGUCAGAUUUGACAACAUCUCACACCACAGACACUUAGAAUUCUCACUGAGUAAACUUGUGCAUGGCCAAGUGGGGUUUUGCCAGAUGGCCAGUACACGAUGUUUAUGGAUCAAAAAACACCAUUAGUUUAUUUGAAGCUGCAGGCCAGCUGGAUGUUGAUUUCUUUUGGCAACAAGAUGUUAAAAGAAUGAGAGAGUUUGAUGUUGGGGACAGGGGAACUGGGUUUAAGUUGUGGCUAAAUUAUGAAUAAGCCCUGGCAGGCCUUGGUUGGCCAUGUAGUUAAAACAUGAGCUACUACGGCAUGUGGUGCUCAGUGUAGUGCAUGACAGUUUCACAAAGUUCAGCUAAGGUAUUUUUUUUUUGUCACAUUGGUCUUAAGGAGUUUAAUUUCCUUAACAUUCCAUGUCUCUGUGGUUGCAGGGUAGAUUGUCCACUCAAUUUGUUUCUGGGGUGUCCUGAGUUGGCCUCAGUUCACUGAGGCGACAGCACUCAAUUAAGAAGUGAUAUCAAGGGAAUUGAUAAAAAACUUUGAUGAAUUGGUGAACUUCCCACUCCCCUUACGGUGGCGAGCGUUAGUUGAGCAGCGCAGCAAAAGAUGAAAGGACAAUUUGUACCUGAACCUAGGCGUUCUUCGAAAUAUGAGCUAGUAUAAUGAGAUUGUCUAAAAAUGAUCUCCCAGGGCAGGAUAAAGAUGAAGAACUGUUCUCCUAUUGAAAUCAAUUAGACCAAAGACGAUUUCUGCCCCAAACAGCUUUUUAUUGUGAUGUGCAGAUCUUUUUUUUUUUUUUUUUUUUUUUUUUUUACAAAACACAAAUUUAAUCAAAGGGAGUGUUAAAACAAUGAUGAAGCACACUCACAAAAAUACACCCAAACACUCUCAACAUAGAGACACUCAACGGUGUGAUCUAAAUAGUUUAUCACAUCCAUAAACGCAGUGACAACUCUAUCACAACUUAACAUAAUACUCGUAACACUAUAUGAUAUAAUCACUAAUUUAUCAUUAAUUUAACACCUCGAUAGCAUGCAAACUGCACAGAACAGGCCACUGCUGGGAAUUAAGCCCAGGAACUUGUUGCUGUGCUAACGACUUAGCCACUGCUUCUUCUACUUCUUCUCCACUCUCCAAUGCACACCACAGGGUACACAUAAGAACACAAAUACAUGCACAGUACCACUCACAAACACAGCUUGCAGCAAAGACAUAUCCAACCUAUCUCCAUUCUGCUUUGAGAAAAAUAAUAAUGGCAAAAUCAAUAGCACACUCUGAGGCAGACACAGAAGUGCACAUGUGAAUGGACAAACACAAUGACAUCAUAUCUUCAAUGUGAAGAGGUCAGAAAAGCUGCAUGUUCAGGUCAUCUUAUCCUGAGUUUCUCAUGUGAUGAUAAUACCUCCACCACCUUAAAUUUAGCUCCUCAACUUGGAGGCUGACACUAACAACCUGUGUUUGCGGCAACCUCUUUGUUAUUAGCUAAGAGAAAACUGUCAUUGAUGGUAAGGGACCUCCUCAUUUGCUGGCAAUGAUAAUGUUUCCUCUCUAAUUCCCUCCCUUUUUGCCUCAAUCAUUAUUUUGCUGGAACAAGACUCAUGAUGCUCCAG